GAGAUAAUUCAUUUGGAAUUCUCUUUAAAAGUUUAGUGAUCGGAGGCUUCUCGAUUUUCUCUCUCUUCUCUCACUUGAAUUUUUCAGAGAAAGAAAAAGCGAUUCAUGGCAAGACUCCGUCCAACAUCGUUCGGCUUCUUUAACGACGAUGGUUGGUUCGUUUCCAGCAUCAAUUGGCUUCUUUAGUGGUGGUGGCUGGCUUUUGUAUCCGGACGUGGUCCGGCUUUGCCGUCUUAUCUCGCCAUCGUUGCUGUUCUGGAGAAAUUUAGAUCAAAUAUAAACUCUGGAUAUUGUGGAGCAGAGAGUCAGAUUUACAAGCGUGAUGAGAUUGUCGUAGAGGAAAUGGUGGGUUAUCGGAUUUGAUGGUGGUGCUGGGAGAUAACGAUGAAACAAUCAUCGGCGUAAGAGAAAAGUCACAUCCACGUGUCGUAUGUUGCUUUGACUUGUUUUAUUAGCGCUGUACUCUUUACUACAAGGUGUUUAGUUGUACCCUUUAUGGAUUUGUGAAAUACUUUGAUGACUGGGCUUUAGUGAUGUUUGUAAACCCAUAAUUUGAAUAAAAAAGAAACUUAUGAACAAGAAAAA